rnacentral:rRNA from 1 species
UACAGAGGGUGCGAGCGUUAAUCGGAAUUACUGGGCGUAAAGCGUGCGUAGACGGUUAUUUAAGUCGGGUGUGAAAGCCCCGGGCUCAACCUGGGAAUUGCAUUCGAGACUGAAUAGCUAGGGUACGGUAGAGGGAAGCGGAAUUUCCGGUGUAGCGGUGAAAUGCGUAGAUAUCGGGAAGAACACCCGUGGCGAAGGCGGUUCUCUGGGACGGUACUGACGGCUGAGGUGCGAAAGCGUGGGGAGCAAACAGG